rnacentral:rRNA from 1 species
AGAGUUUGAUCCUGGCUCAGGAUGAACGCUGGCGGCGUGCCUAAUACAUGCAAGUCGAGCGAACAGAUAAGGAGCUUGCUCCUUUGAAGUUAGCGGCGGACGGGUGAGUAACACGUGGGUAACCUACCUAUAAGACUGGGAUAACUUCGGGAAACCGGAGCUAAUACCGGAUAACAUUUAGAACCGCAUGGUUCUAAAGUGAAAGAUGGUUUUGCUAUCACUUAUAGAUGGACCCGCGCCGUAUUAGCUAGUUGGUAAGGUAACGGCUUACCAAGGCGACGAUACGUAGCCGACCUGAGAGGGUGAUCGGCCACACUGGAACUGAGACACGGUCCAGACUCCUACGGGAGGCAGCAGUAGGGAAUCUUCCGCAAUGGGCGAAAGCCUGACGGAGCAACGCCGCGUGAGUGAUGAAGGGUUUCGGCCCGUAAAACUCUGUUAUUAGGGAAGAACAAAUGUGUAAGUAACUGUGCACAUCUUGACGGUACCUAAUCAGAAAGCCACGGCUAACUACGUG